CGCAGCGUUGAUGUAAUUGGAGCUCUCCCCAUCAAUGGUGAUCAGGAAGGGGAGGCAGCGGUCUGGAGGCAGGACGUCCAUGCAGCGGUUCUUCUCGUGGUUCCUGGGCAGCAGGGCGAUGCUGCAGUCCUCCACCCGCAGCAUUAAACCACGUCAGAGAGUUGGUGUCUGGCCACAGGCUGAGGAGCCGUGCCAACGAGCCUGAACACCUGCGAGGGAAAACACACGCAUACACACACUUUGAAGGCCCAGCCACGCUGAUGCCAGUGAGGGACCAGAUUUGCCGUACCUCGGUCUGGACCAUGUUGACCCUCCGUGAGCGCAGCUCCCUCACACAGUUGUAAAUGUCUACCACACCCUCUCGCUCCGCCAUGUCCAGCAUGAUGUCGAUGACGAUGAAGCAGCCUGUCCGGCCGGCCCCAGCGCUGAGGACAAACACACACAUUUUAAGCUUCAGAGUAAGAAACCUAAGGUCUGACAUUCUACGUACUGUAAGUUUUUUAAGAGUUAUGUUUUUCAUAGCGUUAUUCAUAUGAU